AUUGAACGCUGGCGGCAUGCCUUACACAUGCAAGUCGAACGGUAACGCGGGGCAACCUGGCGACGAGUGGCGAACGGGUGAGUAAUGCAUCGGAACGUGCCCAGUUGUGGGGGAUAACUGCUCGAAAGAGCAGCUAAUACCGCAUACGACCUGAGGGUGAAAGCGGGGGAUCGCAAAACCUCGCGCAAUUGGAGCGGCCGAUGUCGAUUUAGCUAGUUGGUGGGGUAAAGGCCCACCAAGGCGACGAUCCGUAGCUGGUCUGAGAGGACGACCAGCCACACUGGGACUGAGACACGGCCCAGACUCCUACGGGAGGCAGCAGUGGGGAAUUUUGGACAAUGGACGCAAGUCUGAUCCAGCCAUGCCGCGUGCGGGAAGAAGGCCUUCGGGUUGUAAACCGCUUUUGUCAGGGAAGAAAUCUUCUGGGUUAAUACCUCGGGAGGAUGACGGUACCUGAAGAAUAAGCACCGGCUAACUACGUGCCAGCCGCCGCGGUAACAC
rnacentral:rRNA from 1 species